AAAUUUUCUUUUUCAAAUCAGAACUUAAUGAACAAGUUGUUUGCAGAUAUUUAACUGCGCAUUUGGUCUUUUCCAACAUUUUUAUGGAAGAUGUCCAUUUUUUCCACAGUGCGUACAAUGUGGGUAGUUUUUCAAAAAUUUACUCUUUCUUUGAGUUUUGUGGAUAGCUAUUAAUGGUCCUUUAACCAUAUCAUCUUUCCUCAUAAGUCUUUUUUAAUCCUAUGCCUGCAAAGAAUUUAACAAUUCUGCAAAGCGAAUAGAUUUCAUAAUCCUCUUCCAUGGCCCCAAAGAUCAAGAUUCUCCAUGUUCAGGUUCCCAGUAUCCAGAUCACGCAGAGAUCAAUUUCGUGAUCGCUAGUUCAGCAAAUUCAGUGGUGAGUCCUUAUACUCCGAGGAUAACAGUCAUGAGUUUCAUUUCAGUCAUUAGUCAUUUGGUUUUAGUUUUUGCUAUAUUUAAAUGGGGGCUUGUCCUAGUAUUUCUACUUUAGUUUACAGGCUAUUUUCCGAAAUAGGUAGAUUCAGCUUAGUAUUGAGUUAGUAUUUCUUUUGUAUUAAACUCAUUGUUUUCAAA